AUGUUUAACUACUAGGGCUGUUACACCGUCUCCCAUGGUUGCCGUCCCCGUCCCCGUCGCCGUCGCCUGCGUGCCCCGAUGGCACUGCGACGGUUCUACGGCUUCCCCUCCAACAUCGUCGCGUUCCUGGCUCGAGAUCCCCUUCCUUCCCGCCGCCCGGCUCCUACCCCGACUUCCAGCGCCUCCUCCCCGCCGUGGACGCGCUCCGGACAGGUCAACCGCCAUGCCGGUUAAUGGAGAAUGGAGAUCCAUCCCGAGGCGGAUGAGGCGGACGAUGCCAGAUACGGGCUCGGAGUCCUUCGCCGCCGUGACACUGCAGCCGGCAGCCAAUCCUGAGGUUCCCGUCGGGGUCGAUCUGCGCGCCCGCCGGGGGCGGGUUUCUCUCCGGGCCAAUCGAGAGGGGUUCCUCUCCGGGCCCCUUGACGCCGCGCUCAUAUUCGGGCCCCUCCUGGGCGCCGCCACCUCCGGUCGCAUGGGAGGCGCUGUGCCCACGCUCCACCGGAGCCUCUCCCAGGGCGCAUGUGGAGCGGGAGCCCAAGGUGCAUCUCGUGUCCGGCAGUCCGAAUCCAGAUCGAGUUGCUCGCGACCCGACUGCGGCGGCGGCGGUUACAAGGCGCGCAAAUUCCGGCACGGGACGCCGCGACCCCCGCAAUGAUGUGCGGAUCCGAGCAUGGGUGUGACCCCACUGGGAGGUAGCGGCGGCUGGUGGAGGGCUCCGAGCGGGAGCUGCGGACACGCCCAUGUACAUCGCGCGGGAGGCAAUCAAGCUGUGUAGGAAGGUGAGCGUGAAGACGAGGCGGAGUUGCAGCUUCUGCUGGAGAAGUGGCAACUGCAGCUUGCAAGAUUGGUGUUCCAGGAAGAGGAUGCUUUGAUUAAUGAGCAGGCUCAGAUAACAUUGGUAAGCUAGAGCAGAUCGAGAAGAUGUGGCAGGUUACCUGAUUGAUCAUUGUAGAUCAUUGUAUUUCUACAAUUUUGGAAAAGUUUUACCACUAGGACACGAAAAUCUACUUACAUGUUAUGUACAAUCUCCUAAUGGAUAUAAUGCAUAUGGUUUAGAAUCUUGAAAUUUCAGAAAGCAGAAAAUUUUAUAUUUUUACAGUCCUAUGUUACAUUGAAUGAUGAACCGGUCUGCAAGAUUGACCAAAAUAGAAAUGAAAAGUCCAUCCUAGGAAAGCAA